UCCUGCAGUGUCUGCAGUUCCUUUAGUCAUAGGGUAUCUGCCAAGAGCUGUCUGCUCUGCACGUUUCUCUCACCACAAGAGGAGCAAGGAAAGAUCCCAAGCUUUCCAAGUAGAGAAAAGAAUUUCCCAGAAUGCUCCACACACCCACACCUUUUCUUGCAUCUCAUUGGCCCAAGUUGAAUCACAUGCCCCUUUCUGAACCAAUCACUUUGUGUGUAGAAGGAAGGGUUAGAAUUUCUGAAGACCAAUCAAAAUUACCCCUGGAUUGGAGGAGGCGUGGCCAGUUCCUCUGAAGUCCAUUGGAUCUUAGGGAAGGAACCGAUGUUUGGAAAGAAUUGGGGUUGUGCUAUGGAGUCCGUGCAGUAAGAUCCAGCAGGGGUCCCCUAUAGGAGCCCUUCGCCCCGGGCGAGGCACCCCGGGCUUGAGCAGAGUUCCACUCUGCUCUCACAUUGUUUCCUGGAAUUAUGAGGGAAACGUGUGUGUGUGUGUGUGUGUGUGUGUCCAGGAGGAAAGGCUGGGGUUGGGUGAGGAGGGAACGGUAGUUUGGACUGCUGGGGCUUCUGUCCUUUCUCAGUAGGUUUCUCCUGCACUAUACAUUGCCCUCUCCCGCAACCUGAAGAGAGGAGCCAAGCAGAGACAAAGUGCUUUCUGCAAGUUCAUGUUCAUCGCGUUUUUCUGGUGCCACCGUCCUGCAGAGCGGAGAGAAGGAGCCAGCACAAAUCACCAAGAGGACCUCUGGAGUGUGCAGGUCAGGAAGAUCCCCUGAAGGAGGGCAUGGCAACCCACUCCAGUAUUCUUGCCUG